AUUGUAGUAAACAAUUUGGUGCCUGUACCUAGCCAAUCUAACCAUGUUGGUUUAGGUAUUUUGUCCAUUUUAUGAGUUCUCAUUCAUUUUUCAAGUCAGCAAACAGUAUUUAUUGGAAGUGGAGAAAGUAUUGCUGAAACCUUGCUAAGUCCAAAAGCACAGCAAUGCCUUAUAGGCAUAUUCUAAACACCCAUGUCUGUAAGUUAUCUUCAUCUUUGUUGGUGUGAAUAUGCAGCGUGUGUUAAUGUGAACAUUUACGGUGCAAAAGAUUACAUAUUUUCUUCUUCAGUGUCAUACUUUAUUAUAAGAAAAUAAUACUUCGGGGUGAAAGAGUAACCAAUCUGUAGUUCAUUAUGUGUGAGUAUAGUUUUAGGAUUGCUUUCUGACCAGUAGACUCAGUUUUGAGAAGCAAUUGCAUGCUAAUGUGAGAGUGAGCUGACAGCAAACAAUAUAUUUCAGCUUCCAUUAAUUUUUUCUAACUGUGCCUAAUGUUUGCAUUUCAUUAAAAGUAGGAACAUACUGCGCAUGAAAAUGAAGGUCUUAAUUGAUGGCACUGGGGAUUACUGUCUAGCCUAGUAAAUAUACAGUUUGGACAAGAACUAUGUGUACUUUCUUACAAUUCUCUCUUUAUGUAGAAACUGUAUUGAUUUGUGUCUUUAGUCCCCAAUCCAUCCCCUACCAAGAUUUUAAGGGCUGGCUCUCCAGUGUAUUGCUGUCUGCACCAGCUAUUUCCAUCAUAGUCAGAGCCAUGUACUUAAAUAUCUCUUAUAUAAUUUACAUUUUCAGAUUUCACAAAGGCUUCUAGGCUUCUAAUUCACCCAGAAAGGCUUUGCCUUUGCUUUAAAGAGGUUCUUGUAGGACUUGCAAGUUCUGUCAAAGUGUAUUUUCAGAACUUUGGUAUUCUAGUCUUAGCAAAGGAAAGACGUUGGAAAGUCUCUACUCAAAAGAAUCUUUGUGAAAGGUCUUGAAAGUUGUCACAUUCAUAAGUAGUUCGGCCUCCUCUUAACAGCUGCUCCCCAGUGCCUUCUGCUCUAGAAGAAGUGCUUUUCAUUUUGAAGAGUUCUGGCAUUCUCCCGUGUGGUCCCCAAGAUCCCUCCAUCUCAACUGUGAGCAAAAAGGUGAUACGUGUUGAAUGUGCCUUGUGGACUUCAGAAUCUAGACCGUGGCCUUACCCUUGCUGAAUAAGAGGGUUAAGAACCUGUGAAGGAAUCUCAGCAAAAGGGUCCAGAGACAAUUAAACAGAGGACUCCAAACUUAGUCCAUGCAGGACCUCAGACAGUAUGGCUUUUGAAUGCUACCAAUCUGUAGCAGGCAAAACCUUAGUUUUGAACUAAUUCAUUAGACAUGCAUUUCAUUUGGUUCCUUGUGUUAUGAUUUAUUUGUGUUCAAGGUGUAGCUACUUUGUGAUCAUUCUUUUCUAUUCACGUGGUGAUUUAGGGCUUUUGUUUCCAAACACCCAUUUUCCAAGAUUACAGUUAGCAGACAACAACAACAAAAUGUUUAAAUAAAUUAUUCACCUGGAAAAUUCCGGUAGUUUUUUAAAACGUAAAUGAGGUGAUGUAAGUUACGUGAUUAAGUGCAAUCAUUAGGGAAAGACUGAUUAAAUUACUCCGAAUAAAUCUCCAAAAGAAUGAGUUGUGUGAUGCUGUAUUUUCCUGUUGAAGACAGCUAGCCAUUUUCAGCAGCAUCCUUUUAUGGUAAAGGUGCUACAGAUAAUUUCUUUGGGAGGGAAGGCUUUUUUUUUUUUUUUUUUUCUUCCCCCCAAGCCUUUAAUGAACGUGAAAUGGAAUUGGGAAGUAAAAUUUAAGCAGGUCAAUGGAAGGAUUCUAACACUGAAAAACGUCUAUUUUAAGGAAUCUCCUUUAUAAUGAUCUGAAUGUGAAGAGUUGGUGGUUAUCUACUCCUUAAAAGUUUUAAGUGUACUUUUAAAGCUGUCCACCAAAUCCAGAUAAUGCUUUCUAUUUCUUUUAUACUCAUGUCUUUCUGGUAGCGCAGAUAUGUACUCGAAUUCUAGCACUAAUAUUCAUAGCAGUUCAUGCUAAUAACAGAGAGUCCUCUGUGUCUGCUUUCUAGCAGAAUUCCCCAGGCAGACUUGUUCUGAAGCCCGUAUUGGUUAGGGCAGAAGUGCUGUGAGUUGUGCUGGGUGUUAGGCUGUAUUGGAAGAGCUCACAGGCAGUCGGUGCUGUUCAAACCGCGUUCCCGUCUGUCCGUGCCAGGAUGUAUAUUCUUCACCUGCUGUCCUUCAGCCAGUGACUGCACUUGUUUUCAGCAGCCCCCAGCUGAAUUCACAUAGGUCUGUAAGCUACAGAAAGCCUGGAGUGGGGCCUUGUGGAGCACCUAUGAGUACACCUAAAUAUACUUUCUCUUCUUGUGGCUGCUUCUGUUUGCCAACUUAUGUUUGCCUGCUCAGAAGCAGUGUAAAUAGGAGAUAUGGCGUAUUACCAUUGUGCCAUUGGAAGUAUACCCUUUGCAAGUAUAUAUAUUUUUUUCUUGUUUUCGACCAUGGAGUUCGCUCUUCUGACCUUAAGUUUGUUAUUAAAUACCAAAUGCAGAGUGUAGGAGACACUGACUUGCUUAGUUGGCAGAAAACGCAGAAGUAUUUGGUGCUGGAGUGCUGUGUGAUGUUGUGGCUGGCCAAUGAAGCGUAAUAAAUGCAAGAGCCAAGCCACUUUGGAGGUAUGAAGAGUCAGAGAAGCAUUAGAGUAAUUUAAAAAAUGUAAACUGUGGGUAAAAUCUAACAACAUCAUUUCUUUAAAGUUCUUUGUUAUUUACCAGACUUCCCUCCUGAAAACCUCCUACCCUAGAAUGAGAUGCAGUUUGCAGAGCAGGAGGAAGAUUGGUUUCUGUCUGGGGACACUCGGUUUAAAAAGACAGAACUCCGACUUUAUCUCUGAUGCGACUCGAGACCACUGUGGUUGUGUCUGUAUGAGUGUGCUCUGGGUGUAUUUUUGGGUAUCCUGUAAGUCAUUUUAUUCACACUUUCAAAAUGAGGGGACCCCAGUUAAUCUGCCUUAUAUAUCAAAGCUGGUUUUAUAGCUUUACAUAUAUUGCACUGUAGGGCUAGUCAAUAAAAUUUAAAAAUGAAUUUCUUAAUUCUUGCCCUCAUUUCACUCAAGGAGAUACAUGGUCCAAGCAAUUUUUCAUUUAUUUAGUGCUGCAGAUUUUAAGAUUUCCUGAACCAACUUGUUUCCAUCAGUUAUGGUUUUGCCAUUAGUUUUAGUAGGAAAAAGCUUUCCUAGCUUUUAAGCUGGAAAGUUGGUUUGUUUUUUCGCCAUCUACCUUUUCAGAGGAAACAGUGGUGCCAGUACAAUCUCAUUGUCCGUAUCUGCAUUUAUCAAAAUAUUGAACAACAGGCCCACCUAUCAAGUGAUUUUACAUAAUUAAAUUAUUACAAAUAACAUGACUGUAGUCACCGAUAGGAAAGUAAUUCUUUUUAAGAUCCUUUGAUGUCAAGAAAAUAGUUCAUGCAGGAGCUCCAAUGCUGCACCUUUUAAGCUGGAGAUUUUCAAUUAGAAAAAGGAAAAAAAAAAGGUUGAGCCCAGCUGCUAAUGCACUGGUGAAAGGUGAAAGGUAUUACCUGCUUGUUGAACACCUGGCAAAUGGAAAAGCUGUCCACCAGACAGUUACACUUUAUGCAUUGACAAUGAAAAUUUGUUGUCACUACCUUGAUUGCCUUCAUAGCGUGCCUGAAAUCUGUCCUGUAGCAGUGGCCAGAACAGUUUGGAGACAGCAGGGAUAUUUUCCUUGCCACUGUGAGUAGAAGAAUGACUUCUGUGAGCCUGAGAGGAACAUGGGUGCUGCUAACUCUAUGUCAAAGCACGUACAUGCGUUAGUAAAGCUUGAAGUAAACCUCUGAGUACGAUGAACAAUAUCUGGAUGUGUUAUGUUUUCAGGUGGGACCCUCUCCUGAUAUGUGACCUACCGCAAGCUACCCUGAAUCGUAUGAUGACAAUGUUAUCGCUGCCACAUCUCUGGAAACCAGUUACUCAUAAAUAUAUGGUAUGUGAACUUCUGCAUCUUACAUUAAGCACUGCUAGUUGGAGCAGCACAGUAACAAUAAUAUGAAGGUGCUAAAAGCUAUUGAAGUAAAUGUUAAGCCACAUGUAUAAUAAAUUACCGUCAGCCAUUCCAGCAGAUGUUUAUCUGCUAGGCCUGGUCCAUAUGCAGAAUGGUGAACUGUUUUAACUGCAAAUACAAUCUUGAAAACGCAUUCAUUUACAGAUGUUGUUAGAAACCUACCGAUGUUUUUUUUGGAUGGAGUUAUACCGGUAUAACCAUGAUGUGCAGAUAUGCAGCCUGCUAUUCUCCUCCUCGAGCAGGAAGCGGUGGUGGUAUUGGCAUGAAGGGUUCUGUGCCUUAACUGUAUUGUUGCAUUUAAAGCACUACUAUUUUUGUGUUUAGGAAAGGCCUUUAAUUGCUUUUCUCCUUCAUUCCAUUUUCAGUUUCUGGUCAAUCUAAAUUAGAUUAAUUUCACACACAGUGACUCCCUAAAGAAGUGCAAAUUAACUCAAUUUUACCAAAUUCAGCCAGAUGAUGGCAGUUAUUCCCUUGCUGUUUAGCUGUACAUUAUACAGUCUUUGAAUAAGAUUUCUAUAGGAAUUAAAUCCAUAUAUUGAAUCUUUUUUCCUUAGCCUGUAAGACUAAGACCCUCACCUUGUGAAAGGAGGUUAUUUAAUUUCUAGCCUGCAAGGCAAAACUAGCCUGCUACCUGGCAUGUCUUUCUUUCUUACUCUUCUGAUUCAGGGACUGUAAAACCACAAGCAAACUGGCUUUAUGAGAACUGCUACAUGAUUGCUUUGUAUUCUGGAGUAGUUUUGUAGCAUACCACGUAACCAUUAGCAUGGAGCAUCUUCUGAUUUAUGGUUCCAGUCCAGCUCCCACUGAAGCUGGUAGGAAAAUGUUUCUUCAUGCUGAUGGGAGUUGAAUUGCACCGCAUGUGCCAUCUGAGACUUUUAAGUAAUGUUCCCUGUGGGAAAUUUUUUUUUUACUGAUAGCCACUUUUUUGAGAUCGAGUGUUAAAGAUAUAAGCAUAGAACAAAAUUACAAGGAAAGGAUUGUUGAAAUAACAUAGGAAAGGGCUCAGUGGAAGUCCGUGUGCAGAUUCAAGAGUUGUAAAUGGGUGAGGAGAGAUGACUGUUUGCCACAAAAGCGUUUAUCUGGAUUCUGUGUGCUGCAUUUUUACAUAUAAUUUGGGGGGUGUUUGUCAGAUGUGUGGCUGAUUUACUGUUAAUGUCAGUGAUGUAAGAGACAGAAAGUACAACAGAAGUCUUAGAGGGAGUAGGGAGAGGAAAUUCAUGCUUCAUUAAACAAUUUGAUGUAUUUUGGGAGAGCCAUUCACAACUCAGAUAAUUUCUGAAUGUUCUGAUUAAUGAAGAAGUGACCAGAUCUGGCUCACUCUGGUUCUGCUUGAAGGGAACAUCCUGGAGAUUAGGUGGGAGAGCAUUGACCCUGCUUACACUGAAAGGACUGCUAGUGUGUCUGUGUGGCCACCCAUGCAUGCCAAGUACAAUUAACACCAUAGUUUACAGAUUUUUUUCUACACAUUUGUUCUGACAUCUCCUGUAUCAGCCAUAUCUAAGAACCUUUUUAAGAUGAGCACAGGAAUAAUGAUUUCUGUUGCUCUUGUUUCUUCUGAGUUGAUUCAUUUUUUAGCACUCAAAAUUGCCAGUGGAUAUAUAUAUAUUUUGUAAAUAAGUCAUUUUGGUGUUUGUGGGCAUGUUUGUAAAGUAAAACUGGUUUGAAGAAAUAGAGUUUUGCAUUCUGUAUGGGCAGAGGUCUGGAGAGGAGCUGGUAGGCCAACUAGACUAGCUUCCUUUUGCCACCUUUUCCAAAGGUACCUUUUCCAAAGUAGAAUGGUUGUGUUUUGGUUGAUAUUUUCAGGAUUUUUUUAGGUGGAAGGUGGCAUAUCACUGGAAGAAGGGCCCUCUGAGGGGAAGGCUGAUGGGGAGGUGUGGUUGCUAAAGUGGUGACUGUUUGCAGAUCUAUGUGUUUGCUGGGGACGGAGAGGAAGCAGACACCUCUCUGCUCUGCUUCUGAUGAGCUGAGAACAAGGUGUGCUAUGUCUCGCACCUCAAGAGAACUUAUUAUAUGAGGUAAUUACCUCUACCCAAAUCAAAAUGAAAUUUCAUUUGUUGAAUGUAGGAAUCAGAAUGAAGGGUUUUUUUUGUUUUGUUUUUCCUUUUGUGUGUUUUGGUUUUCAUCUUUGGCUAAUUCUCAUACAGCGUUGCAACAGGAAACUAAUCUUCAGGAGCACAGCCCGUAAAAGAUAGGCCUUCUGAGGGACUGGACUCUGCUUAUUGCAGAGACCUUCCAAGACAGGUACAUUGUAAAAGAUUACAGACCUUCACAGGAAAUUAAAUUGGAUGUGAUGUAGUAAAAGAGUGAGAAAAUGGAAAGGACAUAUGUAGCACAUUUAUGAUGAUUAAGUGGUAAGAAAAUGAAAACAUACGAUGCAGUGAAGUGUAUGUAAUUUAGAUAUUGAUACACACUUUCUAGUAUUUUAAAUAAUCUGCCCCUCCUCUUCCCUUUGCUCUCUCUGUGUCAUUAUCUCAGUGUGGAAAAUCAUUAGCAUCUUGUAAAAUCAUGUUGAUUUGGGGCAUAUUAGGUUAUAAAGUGUUCUAAAACAAGUCUCAGUAGUAAUGUGGAGUGCUCUCCAUUGCAUCAUCCAGAGGAAGGUGUGUGGGGAGCCAAACUGGGAGUGCUGGGCAAGAGCUGCGCUCUUGGCUGGUGGCUCACAACGUGGUGAUAUGGUGCUGGUGGGACAAAACUCCCAGUCUGUCUCCUCCUCAGUGUCAGCUCAACUGCAUGGGUGAGCUGGGCUCAUUCCUGUCCAGGUGCCUGUGGGCAGAGCACAGGUUUCCCUAUCAGGGAAUUCUUUCAAAGGGGACAGUAAUAACUUCCAACAUUUUAAUAACUUUUCUUAUAAGAUCUGGUUACCUGAAAUUGGAAAGGAUAAGCAGAACUCUGAGAGAUUUAACUUUAUUAAACAUCAUAAAUCCUUUCCCUUUUGACCCUAAUCAGUCCCCAGAGUCUUUUUAAUGCUCUUGACAUUGCACCGGCCUUUCAUCAUUGCACAAUAUACGUUUUCCUGUUACAAGGAAACCGGUGGUGAGAGCCCCACUUAAACCAGAGGUGAAGGCAGCAGCAGUAGGUUGGGCAGAAACUCACUGCCAGCAAAGGGAAGGAGGGAGCUGCACUUUGGCAGUACUCCUCAGCAUGUUCCUUCCAUCUGUGGAGAGGAGUGGAGGGGACCCGAGGGUGCCGGAGAAACCUCUCCCUGCAGUUUGCGAGAGCACUACAGACAACACAACAGUGCUUUUGUGCCUUGUGCUGGCACGGGGGCUAAACCUGCCUCAGAAAGCCUCCUUAUGAUUAGGCACUGCCCCACGUCCCCGGGGGUAGCAAGCAGCAGGAAGCACUCGCUGCAGGCCGGCCAGCUCAGCCCCAGGAGCUGUGGACAAGAAAGAGGUGGCUUAUGGCACCGGGAUGUGGGGACUGCCGGGCGGAGGUAUGGUGAAUGGGGCCCUUCUUCGCUGGGAAGGAGCCUUACCAGGUGGUCGAGGGAUGAGGAAUGAGAAACAAAGGCCUUCUUCAUAAAGCAGCUACCUGGGUUUCUGCCUUCCUGUCCAAGGCGCGCACAAAUCCUCCGGAAAGCGAAGGGGGAAUUCCCGGGCUGGUAGUCUGUCCUUCCUUGUGCUGUCCAGGAAUUCAUGUGAUGGGGAAGGCAUCCAAAGAAUCUGUCCCUAUGUGUAGGGAAGCUAAGUUCCCUCUUUUUCUUCCCUAUGUGCGAGUCAGCAAGUUUCUUCUGCAAAUGCCUUAAUUUUAAGCUUAAUGCUAUGCAAAUAUUUGGCUUUGGAGGUAAAAGCCUCAGGCUGGCUUCAGCUCACGGACUGGCUUCCAGCUGUUUCUACAGGUACUGAUCCAAUGUUUAUAUACACAAAUUGCUAUUUAUUUAUUUAUUGUGGUAACCUUUUAAAAGAAACUUGGAUAUUUGCCUAGCCUGUUUUUGCUUCAUACUUGAAAAUUGAUGUAUUUGCAAUGUGCGUACAGCCAUUUUCAGAAGCUUUGGCAAAACCCUCAGAUCUGCUGAAGAUAAUUGUGGUAGGCUGAAUCCUUAGAUAGCACAGAGUUGUACUGACUGAUUUUUCCCGUAAAGAAGUGCCCAACACUUUGCUUACCCCUGGAAGCCCACCAACCUCGACUAGGAAACAAAGGUGUAGGAAGAGCUGGCGCAUGCUGCAGGAGCUUUGUGCUGUAAUUUGGUUGUCUGGACAAGCAGUCACGGGGCAAGAGAACAUUCAGAAUGAGUGUCAAGAGUGCUAGCAAUACAUACGUUAACUAGGUUUCCAAAAUCUACUAAAAUGCUACCUUGAUGUAGAGCACAGUGUUCUAUCCACAUGUAUUUCACUUUCUCCAGCUCUCGUCUCAGCUCCUGCUUGCCUGCAAUCAGCCUCUUAUUAAAAGGGGAAAGUCCAUCGCCUUGUGGACCUUCUGCAAUGUGCUCAGCGUGUGAGCUAUUGACUUCAUAAAGACAAGAAUAGCUAUCUCAAAUGUGUUUCAUUUGCAUGUGGCAAGAUAGAAAAAGCAAACUCUGUGUGAAGACGAGCAGAUGAGAAAGACACUGAAUGCCUUAAAUGCUAAGGGAGUUAAUGCUAUGCAGUGAUUUUUGCUUCUGUUAUAGGAAGUGUAAGAACAGUACGCUUCCUAGCGUACAUCACCAUCUAAACUGCAAAGAUUUCAGUUCCAUGGCAACACGAGGAGCCCCAUGGUGCUUAAGGUGUACGUAUUAAUGCAUUCAGAGUUAGGGGCUGUUACUGAGAUGGUAAGAAUAAAACAUUCGGAAUAUCUCCCAUUUACUUAUUGAAGGCUUUGUUUAUAGAAAAUCAUCCACCCCCCCCGUAUUGUCUCCAGUCCUUUCUAUGUGUGUUUUUUUCUCAGACAAAAAGCAAAUGAAGCGAUUGUUAACUGGUGGUAUUUUUUCCAUAAGACUGUUCAGUGCAGCAGCACUUGAAAGUUGCAAGAAAAUGCUGUUGAUUUUUGGUACUGUUGUGUAUCUCUGGAGAGGAGGACUUGGUAGCAGGGGGGAUUAUUUCUUCCCCAAGAUGUACUGCUUUAUAGACCAGAGUGAAGCAGUAUUUGGGGUUUUUUUUACCAUUGUUUUCCUUAUUCUUUUUGAUCAGCCCUCUUUCUGCCUUUCUUUACAUCGACAUCCAGUUUCUCCAGUCUGAGGAGCAGGAAAUACGACUGAGCUCUGUUUCCUGGCAUCCAAAGAAAUAUACAAGUGCAAGGAAACAGAGUAUUUUGUUUCUGCCAGUUGCUUGGGUUUGCAAUGUGUCCCCAGUAAUGCACCUGGACAGAGCCUGAGUCCCCCUCUAGAGCAAGUGGGUGAGGGGCCAGGGAAGAACCCAGGCGAGCAGCAGGGCUAAGCUGGCACAGGAAGACUGACAGAAAUGGGCAAGUUGAACUGGUUUUACAGCUGUUUUGCAUUGCUGAAACAGGCAAAGCAGCCAGAGUUAUCGGUGGGUCUGGCCUGUAGAUUUCGUCGAGAUUUCUCUGUGUGACUGCAGAGAGAGCACAGCGCUGCAUUUGGAGGCUGGUUGGCUGUUUCCUGUUGCUGUGCCAGGAGGAAUAAAUUCAUCUCUCUGUUAUCUCUAUCUGUAUCUCUUUCUUUCUUUUUUUUUUCAUUUGCUCACAACAGGAAUUUUUUUUAUUAAAAAUAAGGCUGUCAUUCACUGAAGGGGGAGGUUUUGCCUUCAGGAGUGCAGCACAACCCAAGUAAAUCCUUUCUGAGGACAUAAGGAGGAAUGAAAUGAUUAAGUGACACUGCACUGGCACUCUGCAGAGGGCCGAUUUCCACCCUUGGGCAGCAGAACCACAAAGCAAGGAGGUGUUGCAUGUACACAGCAUCUUCUAGGAGAGCUCAGCACUGGGAGCCCCGGCCAUGUGCUGAUGUUGCUUGUCCUUGUAGUUCUUGCUUAAAAAAAACCCACACAGGUGGAGCUCACUGACUAUGUGGCUGUACAAUUAAUGCAUGCUUGUCAAAUGACAUGGGGCCUCAAAUGAAGAGCAUUGUUCAUUCAUGGGCAUCUGUGCGUCAGUGUCCAACCCAGUGCAGCCUCUGGGUAGGCCAGAUGCUUUGGGGAGCACCUCAGUCAGUGUGGCAGGAAGGAUGGAGAGAAAGCACUGAGAAACUUCAAAGAAAGAAAAAAGGGAGGAGAGAAAUCAAGGGCAGGAAGAGAGAUGAGUGAGGAAACAGCAAAGGCGAAAGGGCCAGCGGAGAACAACAGGGGGCUGGGAAGAACACAGGGCAGGAAGGAGAGAAUGCUUUGGUGUGCUUGAGAAAAAAGUCAUUUUCAGAUGAAACGCAGACAAAAAGGAACAAGAAAAUUACAGAAUGUGAAGUGGGAGAGGAUAUCAGAGUUGCAAAGGAGGAGGAUUCAAACUGAUACAAACAGAAAAUAUGUAUAACGUGUAUGGAUUGAUUUGAUGUGUUGGCCCAGCCAAUUUUAAGUAGCGACUGGUAAGUCUGUAGCAGGAAAGGGCUGUGCCAUUCUUCAUGAGGAAGCUUUGGGCUGGUAGGGAGCAGCAGGGCCAUGUGGGGAGACUGCUGCAGGUCCCAUGGCUGGAGCUGGAAGCGUAUCACUCCAUCUGCAAUGUUUGCUUCUUUCUGUCUCUCUCUGCAGGGCCUGGACUGCUGCCAUCUCCCUCCUUGGAGAGCAGGGUAGUGGAGCACCUGCCACCAAGGAGAAAAACUGCCUAUCUUGCCUUCAAAGGCUGGUGGCCAGAAAGAUGUGUCUGGUUGUCUUCUCGUUUACCUGUGCUGCUGUUAGGCAGGCAGGUAUAAGGUCUCUGUCUAUAUCCCUCUUGUGCAAGCUAUCUAGGCUACCAGAAAUAAACAGCUGAAUGGAAAUUUUACUUCUGGCUGUGAAAAGUGGCUUUUGAAUGAAGUCUACUUCAAAUAACAAAUGCCUUCUUUCCUCCUCCUCCUCUCCACCUACUUUGUUCCUAACCAUUAACUUUUCAUGUCACUUGAGCUAAGUUCAGUGUCAGACUCACCAGAUCCUACUGAAAAACACAUCUCUCUUUUGUGGCAAGCUGAAGAAGAUGAGAGGCUUGUGGUGUUUUUCCUUCUCAAUCUUUGCUCCUCUGGGAAAAGCAGCUAAGGCUCGGCCUGGCCUGCUCAGUGCCAUCAUCUGCCAGGGGAGGUUUUCUCAGCUUGUGGUGGCUUCCAUCGUGGUAGAAGGCUGCAGAAGAUUGCUGUGGAAUAAGUCAUCAUCACCACUAGCUAUGCCAUUUGAAAAUCAUUACUUAAGCAUGAAAGAGAAGAAAAAGAUGAAACAUUAGGAGAUUUAAACCCUACCCAAAGCUCCAAAUAAUUUCUGCCAUUUCUGCUUUCUGUUUCCUAAUCAUAGGCUGCUUCUGCCAUGAGAGGAAAUGGCAGUCACUGGACAGUGGCGCUUGAAAUAUUCUGCGGCGUGCACUAAUACUUAUGGUAAAGAUGGAUGUAUUUAUGGGAAACAAAUGGAGAUCUGAGCUUUCCUGGGGACCUUAAUGGUAUUUUCUGUUAUAACUUGCGUGCUAAUACUUGCUUAUUUUGAUCGGUGCUGAAAAACAGGAUCAGAAAAUAGAAUGUGGACUUUGGGUGCUGUCACACAAUGAUGAGUCAGCUGAAAUUGAAGCCAGUUCAAGGUUUAAGUAUGAUCGUUGAUGUUCUUGAAAAACAAAAUCUCUCAACCAGUCAGCAGCUGAGUUUACUUCUCAGCUGUUAGACAAAAGCCACCCUUUGCAGGGAUGCUGUGUGACAGAAGGAACUCUUUCCUUUUCCCUCACCUUGGCCAUUAGUCCAACAGUUAGGAAUCAGAUUUAACCCUUGGUGUUCGUUGCAGGCUUUGUGAGUCUUUUCCAGCAUUGAAACAAGUAUUUUUGAUAGACAC
ensembl:lncRNA